GUGCUCACUUGGGCAGCUCAUUUACUAAAACUGGAACGAUACAGAGAUUACCACGGCCCCUGCACAAGGAAGACAUGCACAUUUGCGAAGCAUUCCAUAUUAAA